rnacentral:rRNA from 1 species
GAUGAACGCUGACAGAAUGCUUAACACAUGCAAGUCAACUUGAAUUUGGGUUUUUAACUUAGGUUUGGGUGGCGGACGGGUGAGUAACGCGUAAAGAACUUGCCUCACAGCUAGGGACAACAUUUGGAAACGAAUGCUAAUACCUAAUAUUAUGAUAAUAGGGCAUCCUAUAAUUAUGAAAGCUAUAAGCGCUGUGAGAGAGCUUUGCGUCCCAUUAGCUAGUUGGAGAGGUAACGGCUCACCAAGGCGAUGAUGGGUAGCCGGCCUGAGAGGGUGAUCGGCCACAAGGGGACUGAGACACGGCCCUUACUCCUACGGGAGGCAGCAGUGGGGAAUAUUGGACAAUGGACCAAGAGUCUGAUCCAGCAAUUCUGUGUGCACGAUGAAGUUUUUCGGAAUGUAAAGUGCUUUCAGUUGGGAAGAAAGAAAUGACGGUACCAACAGAAGAAGUGACGGCUAAAUACGUGCCAGCAGCCGCGGUAAUACGUAUGUCACGAGCGUUAUCCGGAUUUAUUGGGCGUAAAGCGCGUCUAGGUGGUUAUGUAAGUCUGAUGUGAAAAUGCAGGGCUCAACUCUGUAUUGCGUUGGAAACUGUAUAACUAGAGUACUGGAGGGGUAAGCGGAACUACAAGUGUAGAGGUGAAAUUCGUAGAUAUUUGUAGGAGUGCCGAUGGGGAAGCCAGCUUACUGGACAGAUACUGACGCUGAAGCGCGAAAGCGUGGGUAGCAAACAGG